rnacentral:sRNA from 1 species
UAAUCCUAAACCUAGGACCUUAGCCUACA